rnacentral:rRNA from 1 species
GAUGAACGCUGGCGGCGUGCCUAAUACAUGCAAGUCGGGCGAACAGACGAGGAGCUUGCUCCCCUGACGUUAGCGGCGGACGGGUGAGUAACACGUGGAUAACCUACCUAUAAGACUGGGAUAACUUCGGGAAACCGGAGCUAAUACCGGAUAAUAUAUUGAACCGCAUGGUUCAAUAGUGAAAGACGGUUUUGCUGUCACUUAUAGAUGGAUCCGCGCCGCAUUAGCUAGUUGGUAAGGUAACGGCUUACCAAGGCAACGAUGCGUAGCCGACCUGAGAGGGUGAUCGGCCACACUGGAACUGAGACACGGUCCAGACUCCUACGGGAGGCAGCAGUAGGGAAUCUUCCGCAAUGGGCGAAAGCUUGACGGAGCAACGCCGCGUGAGUGAUGAAGGUCUUCGGAUCGUAAAACUCUGUUAUUAGGGAAGAACAAAUGUGUAAGUAACUAUGCACGUCUUGACGGUACCUAAUCAGAAAGCCACGGCUAACUACGUG